CAGCAGCUCUCUUUUCUGGCACAAUGCUAAACAAACUGAACUCCCUCUAGUGGCCAGCUCCAGAAUAGGAGUGUAUGUGGAUCACAGGGCAGGAACUCUGGCCUUCUACAGCAUCUCUGACACAAUGACCCUCCUGCACAGAGUCCAGACCACAUUCACUCACACACUCUACCCUGGGUUUAUCUGUUACGUUUCUGCAUCAGUGAAGCUGCUGUGACUGACAUGUCUAGAUGCUGUUAGCACAUACAUCUUACACAUCACAUCAUUUAACACAGGGGUGUCAAACUCAUUUUAGUUAAGGGGCCACAUACUGCCCACUUUGAUCUGUGGGCCAGACCAGUAAAAUCAUAGCAUAAAAACGCAUAUAUGACGACAAUAUUUCUCUAUGUUUAAAUCAUUGGUGAAGGUUUUUGGAUGAUAAACCCUAUUUUAAGGUCUUUCUACAAUAAACUAUAAACAUAAAGACCAAAAACUCAGACAUCAGCCCACUGUUCAUCUGCCUGGGCUCUCCUCUGCAGAUUCCCUCGCUUUGUGACGCGUUUGACGUCAAGCGCGUCACAAAGCGAGCAUUGCUGCCUGUGGCAAUGAGCGCUUCCGCCUCCGGAGCAGAUAUCGCAUUUACGCUGUUUUUGAAGCAAUUACUGGAUCGAUUAAAAAAAUUACUAAAGGUUUGUACUCAUAAACCUCCAUAUUCUUAAGAGACAUUCUGAUUCACAACACUUGAAAUCUAUUAAGAAACAAGUGCAAUUUGUAGAUAGCAGCUACUUUUAUAGAAAUGCAAUUUAUGUCUUUCUGUAAUUUUCACACUUAGCAAAGUCAUCCGCCGGGCCGAGCUGGACCCCCUGGUGGGCCGGAUCCAGCCCGCGGGCCAUAUGUUUGUCACCCCUGAUUUAACACAUCACUCACACAUUAGCAGUGGCGUUUCUACAUUAGGGGCACAUGGGGCACUGCCCCACCAGAUCCAGAUGGCGCUGUGGUGCAGAAAGCUCAAUACAUCUGUGCUUUGUGGCAAAAAAUAUCUUAUCUUAUUUAAAAUGCAAAGUAGCGAUUCAAUUGUAAAUGUGUGUGUGAAUAAACUAGACUCACAAGCAUUAUAGUGCUGUUUUGGAGUAAUUUGAUUU
ensembl:lncRNA